UUUUGUACCUUUUGUAUCAGGGUUGAUUAAAAUUUAUUUAAUGAUUUUAAAUAUCUCGAAAAUAAGGGAGCUAAAUUUAUAUUAUUUUUUUUGUAGCAAUAAAAUUAUAAAUAUAGAUUUAGAAAUUAAAUGUUAAACGAACUUAUUAAUAUCUAGUUUUUUUAGAAAUAAAUUUAAUUUAGAUAUAAUUAUUUUAGUAAAUUAAAUUUUAUUUUAAUUUAUUAAUUUUUAUAUUAAAAAUUUAUGGGAUAAUCUAUAAAUUUAAGAUAAAAAUUUAAUUUUAAUUUUUAAUGUUAUAGAGAUAAUAUUUUUCUUUAAUUUUAAUAAUUUAAUAAUUUAAUAUUUAUAAAUUAAUAAUGAUUUAAAUUUAUAUUUUAUUUUUCUAUAAAAAUUUAUAUUUUAAUUAAUAAAAUAUAGAAAUAAUGAUUAGAUUAGUAAUAAAGUUAUAUUUUAUAAUGAUAUUUUGUAUUAUAUAAUUUAAAGGAAUUCGGCAAAUAUAUUAUUCACCUGUUUAUCAAAAACAUGUCCUGUUGAUUAUAAUUUUAGGUCGAUCUGCUCAAUGAAUUAUUUUAAAUAGCUGCAGUAUGUUGACUGUACAAAGGUAGCAUAAUAAAUUGUCUUUUAAUUGAAGAAUUGUAUGAAAGAAUUAAUGAAAUAAUAACUGUCUCUAAAUUAUUAAAUGAAUUUAAAUUUUUAGUUAAAAUUCUAAAAUUUAAUUAUGGGACGAUAAGACCCUAUAGAAUUUAAUUUAAUUUUUAAAUUUAUUUAUAAUUUUAAUAAAUAUAUUUAAGAUUAAAUUUGAUUGGGAGGAUUGGUAAAUUUAAUAAACUUUAUUUAAGAUUUAAUUUUGAUAUAAAGAUAAUUUUCUGAAUUAUAAAUUGUAAUUAAAAGAAUAAAUUACCUUAGGGAUAACAGCGUAAUAUCUUUUGAUAGAUCAUAUAGAUAAA
rnacentral:rRNA from 1 species